GUAGAGCAGCACAUAUACUAAAAUUGGAAAAAUACAGAGAAAAUUAGCAUGGCUCCUGCACAAACAAUUUUUUCCUGUUCAUUAAAGUUGUGUU
rnacentral:snRNA from 1 species